AUUACGAGUAAAGAUGCUCGUUACGCGCGGCAGGACGAAAAGACCCCGGGACCUUCACUAUAGCUUGGUAUUGGUGUUCGGUACGGUUUGUGUAGGAUAGGUGGGAGACUGUGAAGCGGGCACGCUAGUGUUUGUGGAGUCGUCGUUGAAAUACCACUCUGAUCGUAUUGGACUUCUAACCUCGGACCAUGAUCUGGUUCAGGGACAGUGCCUGGUGGGUAGUUUAACUGGGGCGGUUGCCUCCUAAAAUGUAACGGAGGCGCCCAAAGGUUCCCUCAGCCUGGUUGGCAAUCAGGUGUUGAGUGCAAGUGCACAAGGGAGCUUGACUGUGAGACUGACAGGUCGAGCAGGGACGAAAGUCGGGACUAGUGAUCCGGCACCGGCAAGUGGAAGCGGUGUCGCUCAACGGAUAAAAGGUACCCCGGGGAUAACAGGCUGAUCUUCCCCAAGAGUCCAUAUCGACGGGAUGGUUUGGCACCUCGAUGUCGGCUCGUCGCAUCCUGGGGCUGGAGUAGGUCCCAAGGGUUGGGCUGUUCGCCCAUUAAAGCGGCACGCGAGCUGGGUUUAGAACGUCGUGAGACAGUUCGGUCUCUAUCCGCCGCGCGCGUUAGAAACUUGAGGAAGGCUGUCCCUAGUACGAGAGGACCGGGACGGACGAACCUCUGGUGUGCCAGUUGUUCCGCCAGGAGCACUGCUGGUUGGCUACGUUCGGAAGGGAUAACCGCUGAAAGCAUCUAAGCGGGAAGCCUGUUCCAAGAUGAGGUUUCUCUCCACCUUGAGUGGUUAAGGCCCCCUACAGACCAUGGGGUUGAUAGGCCGGAACUGGAAGCCAGGUAACUGGUGUAGGUGACUGGUACUAAUAGGCCGA
rnacentral:ncRNA from 1 species